rnacentral:rRNA from 1 species
UACAGAGGUCCCAAGCGUUGUUCGGAUUCAUUGGGCGUAAAGGGUGUGUAGGUGGCGCCGUAAGUCGGGUGUGAAAUCUCGGGGCUUAACUCCGAAACUGCAUUCGAUACUGCGGUGCUUGAGGACUGGAGAGGGGACUGGAAUUCAUGGUGUAGCAGUGAAAUGCGUAGAGAUCAUGAGGAAGACCAGUGGCGAAGGCGGGUCUCUGGACAGUUCCUGACACUGAGACACGAAGGCCAGGGGAGCAAACGGG